rnacentral:rRNA from 2 species
UGGGCGUAAGAGCUCGUAGGCGGUUUGUCGCGUCUGCUGUGAAAUCCCGAGGCUCAACCUCGGGCUUGCAGUGGGUACGGGCAGACUAGAGUGCGGUAGGGGAGAUUGGAAUUCCUGGUGUAGCGGUGGAAUGCGCAGAUAUCAGGAGGAACACCGAUGGCGAAGGCAGAUCUCUGGGCCGUAACUGACGCUGAGGAGCGAAAGCGUGGGGAGCGAACAGGAUUAGAUACCCUGGUAGUCCACGCCGUAAACGUUGGGCGCUAGAUGUAGGGACCUUUCCACGGUUUCUGUGUCGUAGCUAACGCAUUAAGCGCCCCGCCUGGGGAGUACGGGCCGCAAGGCUAAAACUCAAAGGGAAUUGACGGGGGGCCCGCACAAGCGGGCGGGAGCAUGCGGGAUUUAAUUCGAUGCAACGCGAAGAAACCUUUACCCAAGGCUUGGACAUACACCGGAAACGGGCCAGAGAUGGUCGCCCCCCUUGUGGUCGGGGUACAGGGGGUGCAUGGUUGUCGUCAGCUCGGUCGUGAGAUGUUGGGUUAGGUCCCCCCAAGGAGCGCAACCCCUCGUUCUAUGUUGCCAGCGCGUAUGGGCGGGGACUCAUAGGAAACUGCCGGGGUCAACUCGGGAGGAAGGGUGGGGGAUGACGUCAAAUCAUCAUGCCCCUUA